ACUGCUUAUGUACAACAACGUUCAUAUUGCAAUCACAUUACGUGAAGUAGAAUGAAUCCUAAAUACAAUUAGACGAGUUUAAAGUAUUAUCUGUCUAUUGGAUGAUAAAUAUGAGUAUUAAAAUUUCAUCUCUCAUCAUAAAUCACUAAAGAUCACUCUCUCUCUCUCUCGCCCCCAAGCCUCACACGUCCUCUGGCACCCAGGGUAGAAGACUGCUUUACUAACUUAGAUUCUGCCAACACAAAAUCAGUUUAAAAUUACACUGAAGCCAAAAAGAAAUUAUUCCUUCUUAUCUGCAGUAAUUUAAAUUGUUUGAAAGGUUUUACGUCAAUCCAAGUUUCGUACCUGCGACAACCGCUUCUGCACUUAAUAACAAUGUGAAAGGAAAAGCAAAUACUGGAGGACACCGCAACAGUGUAGCAAAUAAAGUCUACGAAGUCGUGGAAGUAUUUGACAAUCAACCAUCCAAGCCCAACAUCAAGAACAUCAAAGAAGGGCAACAAGAUCUAACGAAUAGAACUAGAAAGGAAGCCUUGUCUACUAUUCCUGAGUCUGGCACCGGUACCACGUUGGUCACCUUCAGAGAACCACAUCAUUAUGAUAGUAUUAUUGAUAAAAAUGACCUUCAAUCACGAUAUGCGCCCGUGUACGAUGUAAUUGAUGGAACACAGUCCAAAGGUGGCUUCAACAAGAGUGAUCCUCGUGCACAUGGUGCCUCCUCGAACAUGCCAAUAGAAAGUGGCCAUGAUUUUUAAAAAAACGGUCAAGAUGGCUCUUUCUGGUCAUUACCGAUGAACAUAAGGUACUGACCAUGCGGAAACAGACUUUUGGGACGAGCUGAAAACAAAUAGAAACGUCGACCACAGAAU